rnacentral:rRNA from 1 species
AACGCGAAGAACCUUACCAGGCCUUGACAUCCAAUGAACUUUCCAGAGAUGGAUUGGUGCCUUCGGGAACAUUGAGACAGGUGCUGCAUGGCUGUCGUCAGCUCGUGUCGUGAGAUGUUGGGUUAAGUCCCGUAACGAGCGCAACCCUUGUCCUUAGUUACCAGCACGUAAUGGUGGGCACUCUAAGGAGACUGCCGGUGACAAACCGGAGGAAGGUGGGGAUGACGUCAGGUCAUCAUGGCCCUUACGGCCUGGGCUACACACGUGCUACAAUGGUCGGUACAGAGGGUUGCCAAGCCGCGAGGUGGAGCUAAUCCCACAAAACCGAUCGUAGUCCGGAUCGCAGUCUGCAACUCGACUGCGUGAAGUCGGAAUCGCUAGUAAUCGCGAAUCAGAAUGUCGCGGUGAAUACGUUCCCGGGCCUUGUACACACCG